UGGGGAAUGUUGCACAAUGGAGGGAACUCUGAUGCAGCGACGCCGCGUGAGUGAUGAAGGACUUCGUUUCGUAAAACUCUGUUCUAUGGGAAGAAAAGGACUGUACCAUAGGAGAAAGCUCCGGCUAAAUACGUGCCAGCAGCCGCGGUAAUACGUAUGGAGCGAGCGUUGUCCGGAAUUAUUGGGCGUAAAGGGUGCGCAGGCGGCUUUACAAGUUGGAUGUGAAAUAUUGUGGCUCAACCACAAACGUGCAUCCAAAACUGCAAAGCUUGAGUUAAGGAGAGGUAAGUGGAAUUCCUGGUGUAGCGGUGGAAUGCGUAGAUAUCAGGAGGAAUACCGGUGGCGAAGGCGACUUACUGGACUUAAACUGACGCUCAGGCACGAAAGCGUGGGGAGCAAACAGG
rnacentral:rRNA from 1 species